rnacentral:rRNA from 1 species
UCACAAUUAACGGUGGAUCA